UACGUAGGGGGCAAGCGUUGUUCGGAAUUACUGGGCGUAAAGGGCGCGUAGGCGGCCUUCUAAGUCGAACGUGAAAUCCCCGGGCUCAACCCGGGAACUGCGUCCGAUACUGGAAGGCUUGAAUCCGGGAGAGGGAUGCGGAAUUCCAGGUGUAGCGGUGAAAUGCGUAGAUAUCUGGAGGAACACCGGUGGCGAAGGCGGCAUCCUGGACCGGCAUUGACGCUGAGGCGCGAAAGCCAGGGGAGCAAACGGG
rnacentral:rRNA from 1 species